AAAAACAUCUUUUCUUGUUAGUUUUUGAAGUAUGGCCUGCCCACUGACUGUUAGUUGAAGGGCCGCGGUAUUUUGACCGUGCAAAGGUAGCAUAAUCAUUAGUUCUUUAAUUGUGAUCUGGUAUGAAUGGCUUGACGAGACAUGAGCUGUCUUAGAGGUAUUGGUUUGUUGAAUUUGGUUUUUGAGUUAAAAUUCUUAAAUGUUUUUAUGGGACGAGAAGACCCUAUAGAGUUUGACAAUUUUCUUAUUUGUUUAUUGUUUGUUUCUUGUUACAUUGAGUGGGAAUAAUUGUUUUGUUGGGGUGAUGGGAGGAAAAAUAUUUAACUCCUCUUUGUUUUUGUAUAUUUAUGUAUAUUUUUUUGAUCCAUUUAUUUUGAUUAUAAGAUUAAAUUACC
rnacentral:rRNA from 1 species